AGCGAACGCUGGCGGCAGGCCUAACACAUGCAAGUCGAACGAACUCUUCGGAGUUAGUGGCGGACGGGUGAGUAACACGUGGGAACGUGCCUUUUGGUUCGGAAUAACUCAGGGAAACUUGUGCUAAUACCGAAUGUGCCCUUCGGGGGAAAGAUUUAUCGCCAUUAGAGCGGCCCGCGUCUGAUUAGCUAGUUGGUGAGGUAACGGCUCACCAAGGCGACGAUCAGUAGCUGGUCUGAGAGGAUGACCAGCCACACUGGGACUGAGACACGGCCCAGACUCCUACGGGAGGCAGCAGUGGGGAAUCUUGCGCAAUGGGCGAAAGCCUGACGCAGCCAUGCCGCGUGAAUGAUGAAGGUCUUAGGAUUGUAAAAUUCUUUCACCGGGGACGAUAGUGACGGUACCCGGAGAAGAAGCCCCGGCUAACUUCGU
rnacentral:rRNA from 1 species